UUCUUCGGAAUGAAAUUAAGUGGAUUAGUGGCGAACGGGUGAGUAACACGUGAGUAACCUGCCUUACACAAGGGGAUAGCCUUUGGAAACGAAGAAUAAUACCCUAUAAAGUCAAUUUAUCGCAUGAUAGAGUGACCAAAGAUUUAUCGGUGUAAGAUGGACUUGCGUCUGAUUAGCUAGUUGGUGAGAUAAAAGCCCACCAAGGCGACGAUCAGUAGCCGGCUUGAGAGAGUGUACGGCCACAUUGGGACUGAGACACGGCCCAAACUCCUACGGGAGGCAGCAGUGGGGAAUUUUGCACAAUGGGGGAAACCCUGAUGCAGCGACGCCGCGUGAUUUAGAAGGCCUUCGGGUUGUAAAAAUCUUUUUUAUGGGAUGAAAAUGACAGUACCAUAAGAAUAAGGUCCGGCUAAAUACGUGCCAGCAGCCGCGGUAAUACGUAUGGAUCGAGCGUUGUCCGGAAUCAUUGGGCGUAAAGGGUACGUAGGCGGCCUAGUAAGUUAGAAGUGAAAUAAUAUAGCUCAACUAUAUAAAGCUUUUAAAACUGUUAGGCUUGAGAGAUGAAAGGGAAAGUGGAAUUCCUAGUGUAGCGGUGAAAUGCGCAGAUAUUAGGAAGAAUACCGGUG
rnacentral:rRNA from 1 species